rnacentral:lncRNA from 1 species
AGGAAAGAAGACCACAGGGUCCCAGGCCUCAUGGAGCUCACGGCCCUGUGAUUGUGAUGCCCUCGGUCUGUUGAUGGCGGGGCUUAAAUAGCCUGAAUUUCUGGAGCUCUGGCGUCUGCAAGGUGGCCUGGGAAAGAGUUUAUGGAACAGCUACAGAGUUCUAGGUACCUUCAUGCAGUUGAGGAUUCGAGCCCGUAGAGGAGAAUCGCCUGCAGCGUGGCCCCACGGGAAAGCACAUUCCAGGCGCAUUCCGAGGAUGAGCGGAGACCAUGUAUGGAAAGGAGGGGAGACAAACAGUAACAGAAUAGACAAAUGCAAGAGAGAGUGACUCUGGACCCCUCCCACAACGGCCUCCUAACAAUGGAGCAUGAGCAGAUACCUGCAGGAUGGAGGGUCCUGUGCAGGC